AUGCCUCAGGGAUGAACCGUCCCUGAUAUUGGAUUACUCCAUCAAUUCACUUUGUCAACUAUCUUCUUUAUUGACUUUAGUUGACCAUUCUGCGAUGGAACAUCU